rnacentral:rRNA from 1 species
AAUAUUGCACAAUGGGCGAAAGCCUGAUGCAGCAACGCCGCGUGAGUGAAGAAGGUCUUCGGAUUGUAAAGCACUUUAAGUUGGGAGGAAGGGCAGUAAGUUAAUACCUUGCUGUUUUGACGUUACCGACAGAAUAAGCACCGGCUAACUACGUGCCAGCAUCCGCGGUAAUACGUAGGGUGCAAGCGUUAAUCGGAAUUACUGGGCGUAAAGCGCGCGUAGGUGGUUUGUUAAGUUGGAAGUGAAAGCCCCGGGCUUAACCUGGGAAUUGCUUUCAAAACUGACGAGCUAGAGUACGGUAGAGGGUAGUGGAAUUUCCUGUGUAGCGGUGAAAUGCGUAGAUAUAGGAAGGAACAUCAGUGGCGAAGGCGACUACCUGGACUGAUACUGACACUGAGGUGCGAAAGCGUGGGGAGCAAACAGG